rnacentral:piRNA from 1 species
UGGGGCUUCAUGGGAAUUCUUACCCUAUC